UGUCAAAAAUAUUAUGUGGCGGUACAACUAGCGCCACAGUUCUGCAUCGUGCUAUAAAAGUUUUCU